CCUACGGGAGGCUGCAGUGGGGAAUAUUGCACAAUGGGGGAAACCCUGAUGCAGCGACGCCGCGUGAGUGAAGAAGUAACUCGUUAUGUAAAGCUCCAUCAGUAGGGAAGUAAAUGACGGUACCUGAGUAAGAAUCUCCGGCUAACUACGUGCCAGCAGCCGCGGUAAUACGUAGGGGGCAAGCGUUAUCCGGAUUUACUGGGUGUAAAGGGAGCGUAGACGGCAGUGCAAGUCUGGAGUGAAAGGCGGGGGCUCAACCCCCGGACUGCUCUGGAAACUGUACGGCUGGAGUGCAGGAGAGGUAGGUGGAAUUCGUAGUGUAGCGGUGAAAUGCGUAGAUAUUAGGAGGAACACCAGUGGCGAAGGCGGCUUACUGGACUGUAACUGACGUUGAGGCUCGAAAGCGUGGGGAGCGAACAGGAUUAGAUACCCGUGUAGUC
rnacentral:rRNA from 1 species